AACGAACGCUGGCGGCAUGCCUAACACAUGCAAGUCGAACGAGACCUUCGGGUCUAGUGGCGCACGGGUGCGUAACGCGUGGGAACCUGCCCUUAGGUUCGGAAUAACUCCCCGAAAGGGGUGCUAAUACCGGAUAAUGUCUUCGGACCAAAGAUUUAUCGCCUUUGGAUGGGCCCGCGUUGGAUUAGCUAGUUGGUAGGGUAAAAGCCUACCAAGGCGACGAUCCAUAGCUGGUCUGAGAGGAUGAUCAGCCACACUGGGACUGAGACACGGCCCAGACUCCUACGGGAGGCAGCAGUGGGGAAUAUUGGACGAUGGGCGAGAGCCUGAUCCAGCAAGGCCGCGUGAGUGAUGAAGGCCAUAGGGUUGUAAAGCUCUUUUACCCGUGAUGAUAAUGACAGUACCGGGAGAAUAAGCGCCGGCUAACUCCGUG
rnacentral:rRNA from 1 species